rnacentral:rRNA from 1 species
GAUGAACGUUGGCGGCGUGCCUAAUACAUGCAAGUCGAGCGAACGGACGAGAAGCUUGCUUCUCUGAUGUUAGCGGCGGACGGGUGAGUAACACGUGGAUAACCUACCUAUAAGACUGGGAUAACUUCGGGAAACCGGAGCUAAUACCGGAUGAUAUUUUGAACCGCAUGGUUCAAAAGUGAAAGACGGUCUUGCUGUCACUUAUAGAUGGAUCCGCGCUGCAUUAGCUAGUUGGUAAGGUAACGGCUUACCAAGGCAACGAUGCAUAGCCGACCUGAGAGAGUGAUCGGCCACACUGCAACUGAGACACGGUCCAAACUCCUACGGGAGGCAGCAGUAGGGAAUCUUCCGCAAUGGGCGGAAGCCUGACGGAGCAACGCCGCGUGAGUGAUGAAGGUCUUCGGAUCGUAAAACUCUGUUAUUAGGGAAGAACAUAUGUGUAAGUAACUGUGCACAUCUUGACGGUACCUAAUCAGAAAGCCACGGCUAACUACGUG